CACAACUGAAAAAGGAACUCAUACUGUUUCAUUUUGAAAUGCAUUAGAUAAAUUCUGUGGCAAUUUCCAACCUACAUUUGCUUCGCUGCAAGGUGAAUUUCUCUUUGUUUCAAAGAGAACAAUUCUCCCAUCUCUUUUUAUGACAGUGGUUUUGAUAUUGGAAAACUCAUUAUUCCCUUAAUCCUUUUUCUUAUAACCUGAAAUGUCAAACCCUUGGAUGACAUUGAACUGCCCACAUUUGCAUCUGUUUACACAGUGUUCAGGGAGCAGAUUGGAAUGAGUCAAGCUCAACCUCAAGGCUGAUGUUCAAUGAAGAGUUGGGGGUGGUGUUGCUACAGUCCAGUCCAGCCACUUUCACAUUCCAAAAUAAUACUUGUUAGUGUGUACAAGUUGUAUGCCACUGUUGCCCAGUAAUCAACUAAAAAUUUACCAGCUGUU